UACGUAGGUGGCAAGCGUUGUCCGGAAUUAUUGGGCGUAAAGCGCGCGCAGGCGGUCUCUUAAGUCUGAUGUGAAAUCUCGUGGCUCAACCACGAACGGUCAUUGGAAACUGGGGGACUUGAGUGCAGAAGAGAAGAGCGGAAUUCCACGUGUAGCGGUGAAAUGCGUAGAGAUGUGGAGGAACACCAGUGGCGAAGGCGGCUCUUUGGUCUGUAACUGACGCUGAGGCGCGAAAGCGUGGGGAGCGAACAGGAUUAGA
rnacentral:rRNA from 1 species